rnacentral:rRNA from 1 species
UAAUACGAAGGGGGCUAGCGUUGCUCGGAAUUACUGGGCGUAAAGGGAGCGUAGGCGGAUAGUUUAGUCAGAGGUGAAAGCCCAGGGCUCAACCUUGGAAUUGCCUUUGAUACUGGCUAUCUUGAGUAUGGAAGAGGUAUGUGGAACUCCGAGUGUAGAGGUGAAAUUCGUAGAUAUUCGGAAGAACACCAGUGGCGAAGGCGACAUACUGGUCCAUUACUGACGCUGAGGCUCGAAAGCGUGGGGAGCAAACAGGAUUAGAUACCCUGGUAGUCCACGCCGUAAACGAUGAGUGCUAGUUGUCGGCAUGCAUGCAUGUCGGUGACGCAGCUAACGCAUUAAGCACUCCGCCUGGGGAGUACGGUCGCAAGAUUA